rnacentral:misc_RNA from 1 species
GUAGCAAUAGGGUUUUAGGGUUUAAGGUCUCUUCACUUCCUUUCUUGCUCUUACAAGUUACAACUUUCAGCUCAAGAAUUGCUUUUCACUUGUUCGUAUAUCUGAAUGGAGUCUGCUCCACCCGCCGCCACCAAGGUUAGCCGCUCCACAGUAGAGAAGGCAGUGAAUGCUCUUCUCAAAUGGAAAGAGUCCAAGUCGAAAACUGAAAAACCCCAAUUACUCCCACAAGACGAUUUCAUCUACCUUAAUCUCACUCUUAAGAAAAUACCACCAAAACCUCGUACAAACGCUUUCAGAAUCCCUUUCCCUCACCCUCUCCAUGAUGCUUCCUCAGAACUCUGCCUUAUCAUUGAUGACAGACCCAAUUCCAAGCUCACUUCCGAUGCUGCCAAAAAGAUUAUUAAAUCCCAAAACAUACCCAUCACCAAAGUCAUUAAGCUUUCUAAGCUUAAGACUAACUACAAACCCUUUGAAGCAAAGAGAAAGCUUUGUGAUUCCUAUGAUCUUUUCUUGGUUGACAGGAGGAUUGUCCAUUUGCUUCCUAAGCUUCUAGGUAAGCAGUUUUUCAAGAAAAAGAAGCUGCCUUUGCCAUUAGACUUGACACACAAGAAUUGGAAGGAGCAAGUGGAAAGGGCUUGUGGGUCUGGGUUGUUUUACUUGAGGACUGGAACUUGUUGUAUGAUGAGGAUUGGUAAGGGUUCAAUGGACUCUGCACAGAUUGUUGACAAUGCCUUUGAAGCAAUAAAGGGUGUUGUUCAGGUGGUUCCCAAAAAAUGGGGUGGUGUGAGAAGCUUGCACUUGAGACUUUCUGAUUCUUUGGCAUUGCCUUUGUAUCAAGCAUUGCCUGAGAUCAAACUCAAGAUUCAGGGAUUUAAGGAGAAAGAAGCUGAGGGUGGAGAUGAAGAAAUGAGUGGUGGUUUGGUUGAGGUUGAGGAGAGUGGAAGGAAAGCUGAAGAGGGAUCAGGGAAGAAGAAGGGGAAGAAUAAAGGGAGAAUUCAUGAAGUUAGGUAUAUGGACUUAGACUCUGGUGUAGAUGAAUUGGGAAGUGAUGAUGAUGAUGUUGGUAAUAAUGAAGAAGAGGAAAAUGGUGAUGAAGACAUUGAGGAGAGUGAUGAUCAUGAAGUUGAGAAAGUGAAAAAGGGGAAAGCUGGGAAGGGUGGUAUCCAGAGUGAGUUGAACGGUGAGAAGAAGGCAAAAAAGUUGAAAAAAGCUGAGCAGCAAAAAACAAGUAAGUUGUCUUUGAAAGAUGGAAAGAAGAAGAAGAAGAGUUCUGAGCUAGAGAAAAAGCUGAAGGAUGGGUCAGUGAAGGCAAAGAGUAAGAGAAGCAAGAUAAGAGCAUAUGAAUAAUUAGUCUUAUUAAGAGUUUUACUGAUAACAGAUCAAUUAUAUUUGAAGUCUUGAGCAGGCUGUGCCUGAUAUUUUGUUUUGAAAUAGAUUUUGCAUCACCUGUUUUUAUUUAAG